rnacentral:rRNA from 1 species
GAGGUUGAUAGGUCAGAGGUGUAAGUGCAGUAAUGUAUGUAGCUGACUGAUACUAAUAGGUCGAGGGCUUGACCAA